rnacentral:lncRNA from 1 species
GCGGGCUCCAAAACUUAUUCUAGAAGGAGGUUAUACAAAGAGGGAAUUACGGUAUGCAUAACGAUCAACUUACAUCAGAGAAUAUUAUGUUCUUUGAAAGUUCCCUAUGAAAUUUAGGGUUUUUACCACCAUGAGUACCAUCAUCCAGAUUAAACCACCACUGCCUUCCAUGACUGUAGUACUGUGAUCUGUAAUACUUGUGAUGAUC